AAGAUAAUUCCCAAAAUGGCUACUGUUUCGAGAAGUGUUUGGUGGUCUUUUCUCGACCUCUUUCUUCCUUGCUUCGUUAUUUUCAUCUCGGAGGAGAGCUUAAAAAUCUCGCAAACUGAAUUUCGAAAAUUGAACCAGGAUUCUGCUGCCUUAACGAGAUAUUUUGGAAAGAUGUAGUCGAAUCUUUUGAUCACCGACUCCGAAAAAGGUACAACAGAUAUUUUAUUGCAGCCCGAGGUAUAUUCAGCUGUCAUAACUGAGUGGAAGUUGGUUUAGUGGUCCACCUGUAGAUGAACCCUUUUGGAAAAGUUACUGUGUUGAUACGGACCCCUAUCAAUGGCCUUGCAUUUCUAAAUUCUAUCUCAAGGAAACAAGUUAG